AUGUCUGGAUGGAUGAUACAGUAGGUGGGGAAUGGGAGAGAUGGAUGGAUGGAUGGAUGGAUGAUACAGUAUGUGGGGAAUGGGAGCGAUAUGAUAUGGCGCUCUCUACUGGAGGUUUUGAGAAUUACAGACAUUUGUAUUUUGCUGCUUCCAACUCUCCCUGGGUGAAUAAUACUGAAUGGUGCUUUUAGCCACAUAUGCUUUUGUACAAGGAUAAUAAUGGGUUAUACUUUAGUAUCUCUAAAAGGUUAUGUGAUUAACUGGAUAAUAAUGAGUUAUACUUUAGUAUCUCUAAAAGGUUAUGUGAUUAACUGGAUAAUAAUGGGUUAUACUUUAGUAUCUCUAAAAGGUUAUACUUUAGUAUCUCUAAAAGGUUAUGUGAUUAACUGUUUGAACUCAAUGAAGGGUUGCACAUUUUUGGUAACUUUCACAAAAUGUUCCUGAAAUCCCGGUUGGAAGUUUCCUGGAAUCAGGAGGGAAUUAACAGAGAAUCUAGGAAUCAUCCAACCAGGAUUUCUGGAAAACCUGGGAAUUUUGCAACCCUAAACUCAAGCUACUUUGGAGUUGAUAUUUAUUGGAUUAGGUGGAUCAUGUACGAGUGCUAUUCUACUUCAUAUUUAUUAGGUGGAUCAUGUACGAGUGCUAUUCUACUUCAUAUUUAUUAGGUGGAUCAUGUACGAGUGCUAUUCUACUUCAUAUUUAUUAGGUGGAUCAUGUACGAGUGCUAUUCUACUUCAUAUUUAUUAGGUGGAUCAUGUACGAGUGCUAUUCUACUUCAUAUUUAUUAGGUGGAUCAUGUACGAGUGCUAUUCUACUUCAUAUUUAUUAGGUGGAUCAUGUACGAGUGCUAUUCUACUUCAUAUUUAUUAGGUGGAUCAUGUACGAGUGCUAUUCUACUUCAUAUUUAUUAGGUGGAUCAUGUACGAGUGCUAUUCUACUUCAUAUUUAUUAGGUGGAUCAUGUACGAGUGCUAUUCUACUUCAUAUUUAUUAGGUGGAUCAUGUACGAGUGCUAUUAUGACAGGAAAGUGAUUCUUUGGAAAUUGUCGAUAUAUUUAGCUCUUUUUAUGGUGCUGAUUGCAUGUCUGUAGUACAUUAUAAUUGUGUUGACUAAUAGAAAGAUGUAUGUUUCAAUGAUUUAUAUUAGAUUUCUCCACUGAAAAGUACAAGUGCAGCAUAACCACUAGGUAAACAUCAGAUAAGCAAAUACACACACAAAUAUGUUAAAACAUUUAAUUUCGUAUAAAGUAUACAAACAAAACAAUGUAAAAACAAAGAGACAAUCAAAUAACGUGCUGUUCCAAUGGUUGAUCUUCUAAGACCAUUUCCUGUUUGAACGAACCAAUCAGAUCGCCCGAUACUAAGAGGUGGAUUCUUCCUACAGAGUCAGUAAACAGAGGAUGCGUCCAAAAAGGUACCCUAUUCUCUACAUAGUGCACUACGUACGACCAGCGCCCUAUAAAGUUGUGCACUAUGUAGGGAAGAGUGCCAUUUCAGAAGCAGUGUGUGGACCACCAAUUAACAUAAAAACAUCAAAAUCAUUUUAUAUCAGAAACGGAAAGAAAUAACCUGUUCACAGUUGGUAUGAAAUGACUGUUGACAAAACACCUGUUUAUACAAUAAAAACAUCUAAAGUAAUUU